CUUUUGCACAACUCUCCCUCCUAUCUCAAGCAUCCUCUGCUCCUCCAAAAAAAAAAAGCCAGGGUUCAAGUCAAAGCACCUCUAUUCUUCUCCUCCAACCAUCCAAUCCCCUUGAGUUUCCUCCAGAUGUACACUUGGUAGAUCUGCCCUUAUUGCAUGUUCUGUGUGGCUUUGAGGUCAGAGGAGGAGGCUGCCCAUCACACAUGGUGCCCCGACUCGUUUGACAGGAUUGCUUCGUUGCUAGCUGCUCCACAACCACGAUAAGGCCUUGAAGAUCCCCAACAGCUCCAUGUCAUGCUAGUAUCCCCUUAUCAUAUGGGUUCCUUGUUCAGUAAAUUUUACUAUUUGGAGCAUAAAUACAUGAUAGCUGUCUUGUGCCAGCUGAAUUUUAGGUUCGGAGUUGGGAAGCCUCAAUUAUUUGGGGUGCUUGGGGCUGGUUCCAGGGUCCAAGAAUUCAUACUAAUGCUUUGAUUUGUAGAUUGGUUAGACCAGCGAUGUCAUUUGCUUGGACUAGAAGAGGUUAUUAGACCAGUGUUGUGUUGCAUAUUUGUAUGCUUAAGAGGUUAUUAGGCCAGUGUUGUGUUGCAUAUUUGUAUGCUUGUCAGAUUCUGAAUAUAAGUUUGGGGGAAUGUUAGUUUGUCUGUUGAGUUUUUUUUUGUGUGUUGAGAUGUAGAUUAUUUCUUAGUUUGAAAAAAGUGAUAUAUGGUCUGGAGGAACCACUUUAGUUUUUUUAGCUCCAUGGAACCUCCUCAUUAGCUUCAACUGUAGGCUUCUCUGUUUUUUUUUUUCACUUUUUGGGCCCAAUGGGCAAAAUCUGGAGAACGUAUUAGUGAUUUUUGCAUCAUUCUGUAGUGAAGAACAAGUGUUUGUCGUAUAUGCGAACUAGAUUUCAGAUGAAAGUUCAAAAAUAUGUACUCACUGCUGUUCAUAAUUCAAGUGCUCCUAUUAUGUUCAGUUGGUGAAUCAGGUCCUAGUUUUAAAUUGUGCUGAGCUCCAUUUGUGCAAAAUACAAGACUAUAAUCAGUUCCGUGUAUGUUCCUGACUGUUACACCAACCUAAAGCAUGCGAUUGACAUGGUUUUCAAUAGCUUGAAGGAAGAUGCAGACUUCUACAAAAUUUGUGCUUUGCGGGAAGCAGGCAAAGGUUAUUUAGGGAAGCAGUUCGUUUGUUUGAAGGCAGGCUGGAGCCUGGAGGGAACGCAAAUGGAACAAAAAGCCCACGAGGUGGAAAUGUAGUACUAGCAGAAUCAUUGGUUGUAUAAUCCCUGUUGGUUUGACCUUGGGCAGCGUGGGCUGCCUCUACAAGAUAUAAUGUUCUUGUAAUAUUGAUCCUUGAAUGAUUAUUAGAUUGAGCGCUAACUUCCUGAAUGGUGUAAUUGAUAAAUUUAGCUAUUAGAAUGGUUUCCAUGAUUGAUCAUAUACAAUGCUGCCCAAAUGUGUAAUUUCCAUGUCUUUGACUGCACUUCCAUAUGUACAAAAUAAAACAAAAGAUCAAAGCUCAAGGGGUUCAACAA